rnacentral:tRNA from 1 species
UCCCUGGUGGUCUAGUGGUUAGGACAUGGUGCUUUCACUCCUGCAGCCCGGGUUCAAUCCCUGGUCUGGGAA